rnacentral:rRNA from 1 species
AUUAGAUACCCGCGUAGUCCUAGCCGUAAACGAUACUCGCUAGGUGUCGGCCACGGUGCGACCGUUGUCGGUGCCGUAGGGAAGCCGUGAAGCGAGCCACCUGGGAAGUACGGCCGCAAGGCUGAAACUUAAAGGAAUUGGCGGGGGAGCACCACAACGGGUGGAGCUUGCGGUUUAAUUGGAUUCAACGCCGGAAAUCUUACCGGGACCGACAGCAACAUGAAGGCCAGGCUGAAGACUUUGCCGGAUUAGCUG